CACUUGUAGGGGAAGUGGAAGGAGUGUUUGGUGGCUCCUAGGAAAGACUGCACCUGUUGGGAUCUUGGAAGUGGGCAGGUGGCAACCCCUCACUGGGAAGAAGGGGAAGUGUUUGGGGGUUGCUGGGAAAGGCUGCAGGCAGGUAGCAACAGCCCCUAGCCCCACUCUGGAGAGAGGGAGGGGGAUUCUUUGAGCUGAGAUACUCAGAGAGAGUGAAGGGGAGCCAGAGUGGUAGGAAGCAACCCAGGAUGGGCAGAGAGCAGAAGGUCAGAGCUGCUGAGAUAAGGAUCCCUAGGCUGGAAACUGGGGAAAGGGGACCCUAGGCCUUCCCUGAUCAGCUAUUGAGGGUGUGGCAUAGGAUGGAGGCAGUGAAUGGAUGUCCUGACCCUGGAAGGGCAGGACUGAGGCAGUGAAUGGCAGGACUGCUGGUGGACUGAUGCGGGAAUGGGGAACGCUCAGUGACCUACUUGGAGGGGUGCAAGCUGACUUAACAAUGCUGCGUGUUGACAGCGCUCCCAAAACAAGUGAGAACUGCAGCUGUGACGACUCACGCUUGAGGCAGCCCAGUAUCCCGAGCUUUCUCAGUCUCAGAUGAUCUUCAGCAAGACAGUGCCACGGGAGAGGCAGCUGUCGGCAAGGAAGUCAGUGAGGGUCCUGGGACUCCUGAACCUGCUCCCUGUUGUCUGAAACAGUCACUCUGAACUUCCAAG